ACUUCAUAUUAUUUUGCACAUUGUUUUCUUUGGAAGCCUAUUACUAAAACCAAGUACCUUUUAGAGAACUUUCUUCUUGAGAAUCUAGUAUCUUCUGUCUCUCCUGGCCAUAAAAUGGAUCUCAGAUCAAUUGAAGUGUCCUUUAGGUUGAAUUUAAGAUCUAGCAACAACAUUAUCAACCUAGCUACUCUGCUGGUAUCAUUACCAAGAGCAAUAAGAUCACGCAGAAAUCAUCAAACUAGAGCAUUACCAGUUAAUGAUGACAUUCCCUACCCAAAUCAAGAAACAAGUCGUGAUCAGCUACAUACUGCUAUACAUCUUCCAGAUGGGAGGCUCAUGCCAUUAAGAGCAUCCCAAGGACCUUCAAUUGUCUGAUGAUGCCAGGGCCAGGAGAGACAGAUGGAGAGCAGGCAAACGAUAUAGGUUUUUAUAAAGUGUGACAAGUCUUAUCCAUAGGCCUUUUGUUUAACAUAGGCUGUGUGAAGACAGAAGUUGUCGCACUUGACGUCUAAAGGUUCAUAUAUAUCCAGUCAGGCUGGUUGUGCCCUACAACAAUUGUGGAAGUCAUUAGUGCCAAGGAAUCCCUCUACAACAGUUGUACGCAAACCAUUUUUAGCCACUGUGAGCUUCUAUAUGAACGAAUUACUUUACACAUUAUGUAAAGUAAACAAGGAGCCUAAUAAAACGUUUAGCAUCAAUAUGUUUAACGUGAAUCACAUUAGCCUCCAGAGGAAUUGCAGCUAUGCGAGUUUUCCUCAUAAUGAGAUGUAACUUGCAGAAAGCGCAUAGGGUAUAGGCAAGAGUACUCUUGGUAUAGGGUAUAGCCUUUCAUUGAGAUGAUUAUUGUCUCAUGGAGCCAGAAUUACAUACGUUUAGUGAACGAUGUAAUUAAUUUUUUCCUCACAAUUAACCACAUUGAAGGCAUUGAAGGCAUGUUGUGACUCUUAGCUAAAAGUCUCACAAUUCAAUGCAUUGAUUCAAUGUGUGUUAUAGACGGUUUAGAAAUCCUUGGCAAACCAAAUCAAUUGUCUUGCUUACCAUCUGUCUUUCCAGACCCUUGCAUGACAGAACAGUAACAUUUUAUUGAUAUUAAAUCUCAGUUUAUGGUUCUUUUUGUAAUCUUUUUUUUGUAAUUGUUUUUUUGUAAUCUUUUUCCUCUUUAUUUGCUAACAACAACAGCUAAUUCAAACUGCUGAGCUAAGUUGUGGGGGUUUCCCGGGGAAAUCACCUAAUUAAGCUAAAAUCAACAAUAGUAAGACAAUGGUUAAAGAAUGCAAUUAAAUGUCACAUGUCACAACUGAUAAGAAUCAUGUUCAUAAAUAUCAAUUCAUCCUAAAAUUAUAAAUGUAAAAAGAACAACAUGUUGACACACUUGCAUGUCCAUUGUUAAGCUAGUUCCAAGGAAAAGGUGACCUCAGAUGACAAUGGAUCUACAAUCUAUCAUAAUAGGAGUCUCUAUUGGAGUAGUAAUAGGCUGGUCUAUUAAGUGGUAUAGUAGUAAAGGUAUUAAUACCAUCCCUGGUUAUACAGACAACUACCCAAUCCAAGAAGUAACAACAGAUCAAACCCAUACCGGUAUACACUCUCCUGUCACCGGGUAAGUAUGUCAACAUUCCUGUGUCAUGUUUUCUUUAUAGAAUGAUAUUCCCAAUGAACUUAAGUUCCAAUAGGGUCAUAGCUUAAGGGUCGGAGAGACAGACAUGUAGCUAGGUAGUGCAAAAACAAGCCUAAGCUUAGCUUAAGGCUCAACACAAUUUUAAUCACAUUUAUAUAGGCAGCAGCCUAUACAACUGAGGUUAAUGGCCAAUGGCCAUUUUUAUAAACCUCAUUACACUUGUUACAAUUUUAACAAAUGACUAUAUUUGUUACCAUAUUUGUACCAUAUGUGUUACCAAUUUGGUACCACCAAUUGACCAUAUCUGUUAACAAAUGACCACAUUGACGCAUACAUCAUUGAACAGACUGUUAUUGGUCUGUUAUUCAUGUACUUCACCCUUACUCUUUGUGUUAUCUGCCUACAAAUGUCUGUCUCUCCUAACCCAAAGGAGAACUGGCCUCUUCCUGCUGCUGCUGCUGCUGCUGCUGAAAAAUAUACUUAAAACUUUUAACAAUAAUUGCAAUAGUAUUGUAUAGCUGCUUAUUGCUACUGGCUGUAUAUGCAUGUAUUAUAUUGUUACUCAAUACAUUUUUGUUAGCUCAGCAAAACAGUGUUAUAAUUAUGGUAAGGCAGUUUAUACUACAUUUACAUUGAAUACAUACAUGUACAUACACAUAAAGACAUUGUUUACUAGCAAUAGAUAUUCUAAAAUAAACUGAAUUAAGUUACAACAACAUGUUACUAACAUCAUCUACUUAGCUAUCAUUAUAAUCAAAACUGCACUAACAUCCGUCUCGGCAAAGAGCUACUAUGAAUAACAAUUGACAUAAAUAUACGGAGGAAGGCCGUGUUAUUCAUAAGUGCUAUUGUGUAAGCUAACAAAGAGAGACGGGAGGAGAAUUACUACCAUAUAGGUAUAUACAAGUAGGGGAAUUAGGGACUAAUAGCAGGCAGCUAGGAACCAUUCUAAAAGGAGUGAAAAGGAGACAUCUAAAGCAAGAUGACCGAUCCAAUAUCAUUGAUAGUUGCAUUGCUACUCAUCAAUCUCCUCAUGUCACUAAUGCUAGUGAUCACUAGUGUCUUUGCCAUUACAGCCACCUGGGUCAUUCAGUUCAUCAUUAUGGCAGGACUGGUCUUUAUGGCAGGCAUAUUCAUCGCUCUCUUGUAUUGCUGUCUUGGUGGAAGGAGGAAAGAAAGAAAAAUCAAAUAUCC